rnacentral:rRNA from 1 species
AUUGAACGCUGGCGGCAGGCCUAACACAUGCAAGUCGAGCGGAUGAAGGGAGCUUGCUCCUGGAUUCAGCGGCGGACGGUUGAGUAAUGCCUAGGAAUCUGCCUGGUAGUGGGGGAUAACGUCCGGAAACGGGCGCUAAUACCGCAUACGUCCUGAGGGAGAAAGUGGGGGAUCUUCGGACCUCACGCUAUCAGAUGAGCCUAGGUCGGAUUAGCUAGUUGGUGGGGUAAAGGCCUACCAAGGCGACGAUCCGUAACUGGUCUGAGAGGAUGAUCAGUCACACUGGAACUGAGACACAGUCCAGACUCCUACGGGAGGCAGCAGUGGGGAAUAUUGGACAAUGGGCGAAAGCCUGAUCCAGCCAUGCCGCGUGUGUGAAGAAGGUCUUCGGAUUGUAAAGCACUUUAAGUUGGGAGGAAGGGCAGUAAGUUAAUACCUUGCUGUUUUGACGUUACCAACAGAAUAAGCACCGGCUAACUUCGUG